AUGAGUUUGAAUUUAAAUCUUUCAAUCUUGGCCUUUCCUAUUGUUUCGGAACAAGCACUUUGUUGUGAGUCCGGGGAAAUAAUCCCCAUGCCCAAAUUCUUGUCCACUCUUCCUUUUCUCUCCUUUUCUUUCUUUGUUUUUUCUGUUUUUAGUAGAGUUUUGGCAGAAGAGGGAGAGAGAAGAAAGCCCAGCUGGGCCUCCCAACUACCGCACCGGCCCAUCCACUUCACGACCCAAGGCCCAGGCGAUGUCUAUCUAACCCUAGCCCCCAUCUCCUCUCGCUCUCUCCUCUUGAUCCCUCCAGCGCCGCCAAAGGGGAGGAGCCCCUCGUACCAGUGCCCGAUCCCCUCGCUGCCUCCACCUCGAGACCCCCGCGCACGACCUCCUCCUCGCCGCCCUUGGUGCCGCGCCACCGGUCCUCCCCGUCGCCCUCGUCAACGAUCAGCGCCGCGGCCUCCUCCCGAGCGCCCCUCCUUCCAGCAAGCGCGCCCGCCGGCGUCGACCACCACCACCAGGAGCUCCGCCGCCCCUCUGCUCCUGCUUCCUCUCCUGCGCCUCCGCCGGCCUGGUCCGCCUCGCCGCUGCCUCCGCCGGCCUCCCUCCGUCUCGUCCCCGCCGCCAAGUCCUUCGCCACCCUUCUGCACAUCACCGCCUGCCCGCCAUGGCCUCCUGCCAUGGACCAGAGGAACUGCGCCCCGCUCCUCCCUCGACCGCGCUAGUCACCGGAGCCGUGACGGCUGCCGCCCCGUGGCCGCUCCAUGCCUCACCGUCCCCUGUGUGUUCCGUCGCCUCGCACCCGUCGUCUGGCCAGCUGCGGGCCAGCGCCGCCGCCCGUCGACCUCCUCUGCCAUGGCCUUCUCCUCGUCUACGCCGACCGAUGCCAGCAGCGCCGGCCGCCGUCGUCCUGUUCGUAUUCCAGCGAGGCGAGGCACCGAGCUCCGCCGCAAGUCCCUCUGCUGCUCUGCGUCGCGCCGCUGCUCUGCUUCCCGGAGAACCUCGACGAGAACCUCGCUCGCGCCCCCUUUGUCCCGUCGCCAAGACCCGUAA
rnacentral:rRNA from 1 species